rnacentral:miRNA from 1 species
GGGUUGGGAGUGGCUGCGGUGGGGGGCGGGUGCAUGGGGGGGCCCUGGGUACACGCUGGCUGGUUCUGG